UUCGUCUGCACACUGAGAGGAUGAGAAUCUCCGAAGGAGGUUUGAGCCGAACGUAGUGAGACCACGUUGCUUUAGCAACGGCCCGCAGGGCAAGCAUCGAAGAUGCGCAUAAUCCUCUCAUG
rnacentral:sRNA from 1 species